rnacentral:rRNA from 1 species
GAUUAACGCUGGCGGCGUGCCUAACACAUGCAAGUCGAGCGGCAGCGAGUUUUACACUGAAUUCUGGAAGCUUCUAGUUGAAAGAGAAGAUUUAUUCAAGAAUUUUGUGUAAAAUGUCGGCGAGCGGCGGACGGCUGAGUAACGCGUGGGCACGUACCCCAAAGUGAGGGAUAACGCAUCGAAAGGUGUGCUAAUACCGCAUAUGGUCUUCGGAUUAAAGCCUUCGGGCGCUUUGGGAACGGCCUGCGUAAGAUUAGAUAGUUGGUGGGGUAAUGGCCUACCAAGUCGACGAUCUUUAACUGGUUUGAGAGGAUGAUCAGUCAGACUGGAACUGAGACACGGUCCAGACUCCUACGGGAGGCAGCAGUGAGGAAUCUUCCACAAUGGGCGAAAGCCUGAUGGAGCAACGCCGCGUGCAGGAUGAAGGCCUUCGGGUUGUAAACUGCUUUUAUAAGUGAGGAUUAUGACAGUAACUUAUGAAUAAGGAUCGGCUAACUACGUG